AUGCUCCGCUGUCCUCUGGUCCUUCUGCUGGGCACGAUCUUAGGUGUCAGAGCCCAGACCAUCCGUCAAUGGCCGCCUAGCAAGGUGCAGCUGGUGGACAGGCCCAUGUCCCUGGAGUGCACCGUGGAGGGGACCUCAAGCCCCUACCUGUACUGGUACCGCCAGACUGCAGGGGGGCCCCUCCAGCUGCUCUUCACCUCCAUCAGGGUUAACAAUGUUGAACCUGAAGCACUCGAGCACCUGACGGGCAAACGACCUGAAGAUGGCAAGUUCACCCUGAGUUCUCAGAAGGUCCUCCUUAAAGACUCUGGCUUCUACCUCUGCGCCUGGAGUAUCACACUGAGCCGGGCGGGACGGACAGCUGUGCAAAAACCCACCCUCCCCGCCCGCGGCCGGGUGGAGGGUGCCUGCCGCGGGGUUCUGACUGCCAGCUGGAGCCACUCUUUCAACACCAUCUCCUUCUUCUCAUUCAUGACCUGCAUCUCUUUCCGGGAGGAGGGCCUGGAAGCAGGUGUCAGGGGCCAGGUGUGA